rnacentral:lncRNA from 1 species
GGAAAAAUGAAAAUUGCAGUAUCAAAAGUCCUUGUGCUUGUAAGUGGGCUAGUUGGAGUUAUAUUUUAUUGGUUGGCUGUCAUUAAUGAAUAUUGGCAUACUGAAUCAAGUGAUAACAAUUCUUUGCAAUGUAAGUAAUGAUUUAAUCGGGUUUGUGACUUAGGAAGCUAAAGGAUGGAUCGGUUUUACAUUAUAAUAGAAUAUUAUUGAUAAUAAUACAAUGAUGAUACUUUUGAUAAUUAUAUUAUUAUUAUUAUUAUUAUUAUUAUUAUUAUUUAUUAUUAUUAUUAUUAUCUUCAUUAUUCUCAUCAUCAUCAUUUUUACAAAUGUAACUUAUCAUAUUAAUAUCUUAUUUUCAUUAUAAUUCAAAAUAAUAUCUAUAUGAGAGUUGAUAUCCAUGAACUUGACUACAAGUAAUGCAGCAGCAUUUAUUUACCCGAUUUUAGUGGUGCUAUGUUGAAUUUUCGAAGAUAUUUCAAACAAUUUUUACCUCUUUUCCUCGACGGAAAUCGCUAGGAAUUUUCUCCUAUUUUUAACAUAAGAAGAAUCAAAGAAAUACCCAGAAGAGAAUAACAUUAUUUUUUUUUCGUUUGAAGAAAGCGCACACACACACACGCAUCUUUAUUUUUUGUAGCGGACCAGAAGAUAACAUUUUCAUACGAUGCUCUCAAAGUUUCUCCCGUUUAAAACAAAAGCGUUACAAAUCCCGAUAGAAUUUUAGAGAAAAAUUAAACUGAAACACGCGAUAUCUUUUAUGCCGUCAAUACAUUAAAUUUCAUAUGAUGAUUAGUGCUCGUAGUUAAAGCUCCAGUCCCACUAGACAAAGAUCGCACCACGCUCACCACACGAUCUAAAAUAAAUUCAGAUCGUGGUGAGAUCGCGCUAUGAGCGGCAUGCAAAUGUAAAUUUUCGUUGCUUUCACGAUGCUACUACGUCCUCAUUACGCUUCUACAACGAUCCCGCUACGAUUUUACCACGUUCUCACAACGCUUUGUCUACGAUUAUCAUGAUCCUACUACGCUCAUCACGUUAUCACUACGACCAUACCACGAGUUAUCCGAUUGCAACACGAUCUUACUACGCUUCUAUUGCGAUUAUAGCACGUUCUUACCACGAUUACACUACGUUAAUAUCGCGAUCUUACUACGUUUUCAGCAAUAACGUCAACAUCGUGUUCCAUAUAAAUACUGUUCAAUUCCUUAUAAUUCUGAUUAAUACGUAGAUUUCUCGGAAACAACACAGUCAUGACACCAAAAUCUACCAGAACACGUGGACGUGGUGGUAGGAGUAGAUGAAAAGACAGAGAGAUCUCAGAUAGUAACGAAUCCUGAUCUAGCAGAUAUGUCGGAUUGACCAAUCCAACCUGAAUCACAACCUAUUGCUAGUCCAUCAAGCUCAAAUAACGAUGCAUGUUUUUGUGAACAAUAGAAGGGAUGACACAUACAGGUGUGUCAAGCAUGGUUGAGCCGUUCGAGAAAAAGGACAAGGGGUUCAAAUUACAUACAGAGAAACAAAACCUGGAGAGCUUUUACAUAUGUCAUAUGCAAUUGACAAUGAGCAUGCUGGUCGUAGUAUGAACGUAGGCAGGUCGUUAGAAGAGCGUGAUGAUGACGGCAUGGACGUGCUAGAAUCGUACUAUGGUCUUGAAGAGCAUGGUGUUAACGUGGUAUAGUCGUAGUGUAAGCGUAGAAAGGUCGCGGUGAGAACGUGAUGGUCGUAGUAAGGUCGUAGUAACGUCGCUGUGAGAUCGUAGAGAAGUCUCUCCGAAUAGAAUCACGCUUUCUCUACGCUCUCGCUACGAUGGUACAACGACCUAAGCGAUCUUACCACGACCUUACUGCGCUCUCACUACGCUUCUACUACGACUUGAUUUCGCCACGACCGCACCACGAUUGUUUUGAACAUGUUCAAAGUUAAUCACGCUCAUCACGAUCUUGAAUACCAAACCACGACCGUUUUACGACCUUACUGCGAUCUACACGAUCGCACUACAAUCGUCAAAAUUUUAAUUUUUUUCACAGAUCGUAGUGCGAUCGUGGCCUAAUGGGACUGCGGUAUAAGUGCAUUGAACGAAAUGCAAAUUUUGAUAUUUUAUCGGAUGAACAAACAUGUGUGUACUUAUUUCUAAAACAUAGUGAUAUGCCAAGACCUGCUCCAAUAUUUCAAGAUUACCUUUUUAUAUUAUCUUAAUGUAAUUUAAAAUAUUUUAUUAUUUCAUGACAUGCUAUGUAAUUAUAUAUGCAUGUGUAUAUGCGUUUUUUCAGUCUCUCAUGAUUUUUAAUGUUAAUCCUUCCUUGUGAAUUGUUUGUUUUAUGUUGUUAAUAUAUUUUUGUCAAAAUUAUGUGUUAUUUAAGCAGCAGAAUCUAUAAUUUUAUUAUUGAAAGCGAUUAGUUUUAACUAUAAAUUAUAAUAUGAGAGUAAUAGAUGGAGUGAGUCAGUUUUCAUGGAUACUUGGACAUGCAACAACUGACAAUAUUCAUUGGAUGAUGAUUUAUACAAUACGAAGUGUUCUCUACAUGUUUUUUUUUUGUAUUCUUAAUAUUAGGCAUUUGCUUGACAGUUGCAACAAAAAUUUGAUAGACAUUUAAAAGUAAAUUCAAUUUUUGUUUUGAGUGAUUCCUGAGGCAGGAGAUACCAGAUGGACAUUCAAACUCAAGUAAAAAAUAAAGGUUAACCGUCUCCGCUGAAAACGACAAGGACCAACAGACAUACAGACAUACAACAGCACACAAAACACAACAUAGAAAAACAAAAGCUGAGCAACACGAUCCCACUAAAACUUGGUGUGAUCCUUGAUUCCACAAAAGGGUAAGCACAUCAUGUACCCUAUGUGACAACCGUCGUGUAGCUCAUGUACUAGUAAAUACAAAUCCGGUGAUAAGUAUAAUUCGGUAGGUCACACGAAAAUGAGACGGGAUUGUAUUUACAUAAGAAUUAGAAUCAUUGUUGUAUAAGUGACUAUAAAAAGAUAUAAAUAAUUCAAUAUAUUAUUUGUAUUAUUCUCUUACGUAGAACUCGCGUAAGUAAGCGUACAUGCCAAAGCGACGUUAAUCCAUAAUAAUCAUAAUAGGAGAUACAAUAUACGUUUAUGAGAUACGAUUUGAGUAACUGUUAUAAGUAACGCUGCAUCUUCGAUGAACAUGUGUAUUACAAGUUAAUAAUAAAAAAUAAAUUCUGAACAUUUGUAUCAUUAUCAAGAUCAUAUUAUGAUAGGGAAAAAACGAAAUAUUUCAGAAAUGGUUUAGAUUUUUGAAAAACGCCACAUGUCCUUCUGAAGUGUUGGACCUCGAAAUGAUUGUUUUAGUCCUUUUUAAAUGUGUUUUAUAAUCCACCUGGAUUAAAGUACAACUAUAACCUGAUUCAAUCAACUAUUGUCAAUCGACCGUUAAAAUUGUUAACAAGUUCAUUCUAAACUAAAAAAGCUCUGAAUAUAAACUAUAUUUUCAAUUCUAAUGCAACAACGUUUGUAACGUUCAUUUUGAUUAGAUAACGUCACUUAUUUAUAUGGCAUCAAUUGACAAUUGAUGCUAUGAGACGUACGCGCAAGAGACGACGGCAUAUGCCAGAUAAUAAAUACUUUUUUUAACGUUGUUUGCUGUCAGUUUUAUUAGAUGGAGAUAACAAUAUUGUAUUUGAAGCUCUGACGGCAUUAAUUGGGGAUUUGAUUGUCGCAAAAUGCUAAUUGAUACCGUCGGAGCUUAAAAUACAAUACAGAUAUCUCCUAAUGAAAACGACCACUGAGAAUAAACUAAGAAAAUAUAGGUUCAAUGCAUGUACUAUAUACAUAUAUAUAUAUGUAUCGCUCAAAUAUAUGGCGGGUUCCAAAUCGUUGGCAGAUUCCUAAUCUAUGGUAAAUAUGACGUCAUGCCAUUCCAAAUCUAUGUCAUAUUUUUUUAGUUGAUUUUUAUAAUCAGUUGAAUGUCACUUCAUAAUAUUUCUAAAGCAAAGUUAUCUAUUAUAAAUCACGCUGCACAUUCGAGUAACAUGUGUAAUACAAUUUUUUGGGAAAUAAGUACUUUGUUCCACUACUAAAUUGUCUAUUCUCCUUACCAGUACACUUGGUACAAUCAAAAACCUGAUAAUAAAUUGUUCAAAUAAGGCCUUCGAAAAUAGUGGAAUUUAAUUACUUUUGGAGUGUCAAGAACUAAUUGGAAGUACUUGAUAAAUUGCAUGCUUAUAUUGGUGAUUUUAAAUCUGUUCAAAGUUUUGAUUUUUCUACCCUGUAUACCACAUUGCCUCACAUUCUCAUUAAGCAAAAUUCACGCAACUAAUUAAAUGGGCAUUUACAAAGUCAGAAUGUGAAUACAUGUAUAUAUGUUCAAACUCUUUUAGGUCAUUUUUAGUAGCAAUAAACAAAAAAACUAUGUCAAUUGGACAUGCUUUGAUGCUAUAUAUGCCCUUGAAUUUUUACAAGAUAACAUUUUUGUUCGCUUUGGAGUUUCCGUAUAUCGUCAGGUUAUCAGAAUUCCAAUGGGACUUACUGUGCACCACUUAUUGUGGAUCUGUUUUUGUAUUGCUAUGAGUUACAAUUUAUGACAAAAAUCAGCAAAUACCCAUCGAAACAACAUCUGAUAAACAAAAUUAAUAAUACUUUUAGAUUUUUAGAUGAUAUUUUGGCUCUCAAUAAUGACGACUUCGGUAUGUAUACUUAAGAAAUUUAUCCUGUUGAACUUACUUCAAAUAAAGCUAAUACUAACAAUGACCACUGCCCUUUCCUCGAUCUUGAUAUCUAUAUCACUAACGGAAAGCUUAAUACUAAAAUUUAUGAUAAAAGAGAUGAUUUUUCAUUUCCUAUCGUUAAUUAUUCAUUUUAAGAUGUUGACGUUCCCUUGUCACCAUCUUACGGUGUUUAUAUAUCUCAACUUGUACGAUUCGCUCGUGUAUGUAACAAUGUUUUAGAUUUUAACGAGAGAAAUUUAUGUAUUACUGAAAAAUUAUUACACCAGGGUUUUCGAUAACACAAACUAGUCAAAACAUUUACUAAAUGUUAUCAUCGGACAUCAUUCGUAAAUAUAGCUCAAUAUGCAGGCUUCCUAAACGUUCAUGUAUUUCACAUCCAUUUUUUUAUGGAAAUAUUCUUUAUAAAGCACAAAAAUGUCAGUAUUCACCUUAGAAACUAACAAAACCUUUAAAUAGACUUAUUAAGAAGGGAAUUAGUUACGAUACUGUUGUCAGGUCAUUAAACAUUGCAUAUGUUGGCGUUAAUAUUGAUUCACUUAUAGGGUCUUUGCAUCGGAACUAAACACAUAUAUUCAAAAACCAGUUAUUGGCAUGACACGGGUUAUGUUCUUCUCAUAUAUGUUAUGAUGGUAUGAUACUAAACCCAUAACGGGAAGGAUUGUGCCUGAUAUUCAUAUGAUGAAAUCAUAAUCUUCCAAUCAGUUUAAUUGAAUUCUGGAGCUGGCAUGUCAGUUAACUGCUAGUAGUCUGUUGUUAUUUAUGUAUUGUUGUCAUUUUGUUUAUUUUCUUUGGUUACAUCUUCUGACAUCAAACAUUGUGGAUGGAGCUAUGUAUCCACUCGUCUUUGUGUUACUACCAGGAAAUCCUGACAAUAUGCACGUAUUGACUUUGUGAUGCAACACUUUUUAAAGUUCAUUUGAAGAAAAUCCAUAUUGUUUAAGCAGUAACAGCAAAAAGUACUUUCAACAGCUUGAAAAAUAUCUAUUAGAUUUAGCUACCUGUAAUUUACCUUUCUGUUUAAUUAGUAUGAUUUUUUUCAAAAGCUCAUGUAAUAAACCAUAACGUUAACCUGCGAAUCCUUUUGUCAUUUAAACUGCACUGUAUAUGUAGUUCGGGAAAAAUGAAAAAUGUAUCAAAAGUCCUUGUGCUUGUAAGUGGGCUAGUUGGCGUUAUGUUUUAUUGGUUGGCUGUCAUAAAUGAAUAUUGGCAUACUACAUCAAGUGAUAACAAUUUUUCGCAAUGUAAGUAAUGAUUUAAUUGUGUUUGUGACUUAAGAAACAAAAGGGUUGAUCGGUUUUAAAAAAACUUUUUGACGUCAGACACACAAAUUAAUGAAUGUGUUUGUAGAUAGACGUUUUUGUGUUCUGUUAAAUUGUCCCUUUUAAAAUUGUUAUACGAUGAUGACUGAUGUACCUAUAUUUUGACUAUUUUAUUUAUUGUGUUUGUUUAGUUUACGCAUCAAUGUAAAUAUAACGGAAUUUGACGAGACUGUCAUCAAAGUGAGAGGUUUAGCGCUAUAAAACCAGGUUUAAUCCACCAUUUGUUUUUACAUUUGAAAAUGCCUGUACCAAGUCAGGAAUAUGACAGUUCUUGUCCAUUCGUUUUUGAUGCGUUUUUGUUAUUUGAUUUUGCCAUGUGAUUAUGGACUUUCCGAAUUGAUUUUCCUCUAAGUUCAGUAUUUUUGUGAUCUUACUUUUUACAUUAUAAUGUAAUAAUAAUAUUCAUAAUAAUACAAUGAUGAUACUAUUGAAAAUAUUGGUUUAUUCCUUGAAUGCCAACAUCCUUUGAUUUACUGACAAUUUACCUGUAAAAUUAUGUUGGCAUUCCAUGAAUAGGUGCAAAUAGUUAUCACAACAAAAGUGCAUGUUUUUCAAAACAAUCAUACUAAUUAAACAGAAAGGUUAAUUACAGGUAGCUAAAUCUAAUAGAUACUUGUCAAACUGUUGAAAGUAUUUAUUUGCUGUUACUGCUUGAACAAUAUGGAUUUUCUUAAAAUGAACUUGGAAAAGUGUUGCAUCACAAAGUCAAUACGUGCAUUUUGUCAGGAAUUCCUGGUAGUAACUCAAAUACGAGUGGAUACAUAGCUCCAUCCACAAAGCUUUGUAGGGAGUACAACUGGUAAAACGGUGCAAUCAACAUAAAGAGUAGAAGCUGCUGUUAAAUGGCUCACGUUGAAGUGGAUGCUGAAUAUCAGGAUACAGUCUUGGUCUCCAUCAUCAAUGAGCAGAAAGUUAUCACCAGUUGUCGUCUAAUCCAUUUGCCCUCUAAGUUAAUCUCCUGUCUUGAAAUUGGCAGUUGAGGUAUCGUCUGACUAUGCUUGGUAUAGUGUGAUGUCUUGCAGGUUGUAAAGGUGGGCAUACUCUGGACUAGUCUUUCGGAGUCGUUGUCCUAGUCUCUGUUGCGUAGUUUGACUAAUUCGUCUGCAUUGAUUGUUGGUAUUAGAGUGCUUUCAACAAGACAUCUCUGUUUCUUUCUUUUGAGCACGUGAUCAAAAUUGAGUUCAACUGGAUCUGACAGAUGAUUAUGUUGAUCUCUCGUAUUCUAUUGAGUAUGUUGAUGGUAGCUGUGCAGUCAGACUUUACACAUCUCCAGUAGCAUCUGUCCCCCGUUUAGUCUUUACUCUGUAUAUAUGCUUGUAGUUAUUGUCGACCAAGUUUUCUUUGCCAAGACGGUUCUUAAACUGUGCAUUGACACAACUUGUCUAUUCUCGGCUUGAAAGUGCACAUAACUGGCUUUUUGUAGUUUGAAAUAAUUGUACCGAGUAAAAUUUCUUUAGUAUUUCUUAUAUUUUUUAUGAUAAUAAAUACAUUUCCAUUCCCAAAAUAACUAUAAUUUUUUAUUUUAAAAGUAAUAAAAAUGUUUUAAUUUGUUGAUUUCUUUCAAAUGUUGCAAUUUUAUCAGGUUUACUAAUUAUUUUGAACGGUUUAAUACUGAUAAAAACAUUUAAACAGUUAAAAACACACCUAUUGUUAUUAUAAAAACAUCUGUUGAAAUAUUUUUGUGGGCGUUCAAGGAAUAGGUACCAAAUAAAAUGUUGGCAUUCGCGGAAGACACCGAAAAUAUUAAUAUUAUUAGUAUUAUAAUCUUCAGUAUCUUCAUCAUUAUCAUUUUUACAAAUGUAACUUAUCAUAUUAAUAUUUUAUUUUUAUUAUCGUUCAAAAUAAUAUAUAUGUGAGAGUUGAUAUCCAUGAACUGGACUACAAAUAAUGCAGCAGUAUUUAAUUGCCCGAUUUCAGUGGUGCUAUGUUGAAUUUUGGAAGAUAUUUCAAACAAUUUUAACUUCUUUUCCUAGGACGGAAAUCGCUAGGAAUUUUCUCUUAUUUUUAACAUAUGAAGAAUCAAACAAAUACCCAGAAGAGAAUAACAAUAUGUUUUUCCUACGAAGAAAGCAUACACACACACACACACACAUCUUAAUUUGUUUGUAGCGGUACAAAAGAAACACAAUUUCAUACGAUCCUCUCAAAGUUUCUUCCGUUUAAGCAAAAACAUAACAAAUCCCGAUCAAAUUUUAGAGAAAAAUUAAACUGAAACACGUGAUACCUUAUAUGUCGUCAAUACAUUAAUUUGCAGAUGAUGAUUAGUGCUCGUAGUGAAGUGCAUUGGACGAAAUGCAAAUUUUGAUAUUUUAUCGGAUGUGUGUUCUUAUUUCUAUUAAUUAGUGAUAUGCAAAGACCAGCUUCAAUAUUUUAAGAAUACCUUUUUAUAUUAUCUUAAUUCUAUUUAAAUAUUUUAUUAUUUCAUGACAUGCUAUGUAAUUAUAUAUUCAUGUGUAUAUUCGUUUUUACAGUUCUAGUGAAUUCAAAUCCGGUGAUUCGGUAGGUCACAUUCUUCGAAAAUGAGACGGGAUUGUAUUUACAAUUUAAACAUAUAUUACAUAACGGUCAAACAAGCCUUAUUGGCGACCUUAAAAUUUACGAAGGAAUCAUUUCAACUUCACAGCUUAUAACUCUUUGUUCAAAUCCUUCUUUGUGAGCAGCAACCCUCUUUCGAGGACAUUAUGUUCGGUAAUGCAAACCCUACAAUAUCAACUGGGAGGUAUAUACUCCGCAUAUGCAAGAGUUGCUGGAAUAUAGCUACAUAGAAAUGGAAAGUUUUCUAUUAGAAAACUGAAGUUAUAUAUUUUGUCUUCAAGUUGUUUUCAUCCGACACUCAUUGUCAAUUACUAGAUGUAAGUCAAUGUAUAUGGCAGACUUAACUGUAUAUGAUGUAUUCUUUAUCUCAACGUCCAAUGACUAUAAUCGUUGCAAACGAGCUGCAUAAGAAUUGGGUAAUGGUUUUAAAUAACUAUAAUUGAUUACUCAUAAGAAAUCAAUGUGACACUGAUUAGCUAUUCAUAUAAAGCACCUGUACUUUUUAAAGGGGUACUAGCUGCCAAAUUCAUGGUCGCCGAUUUGACUCAAAUUCUCAUAUUUGAUUUAUAACAAUGUAAAAUAUUUACCUAAACUAUCAAAAGUCUAAAAUAAACAGUUUACAGAGCAUAGCGUAGAUAAUAUAUAGGUUCGUUUCAUGUGUAUUCUAGUCCAGACGCCAUCUAAUUACCUAUCGAUUUGACCUCAGAAGACCAUAUAAGCGAUGUAAACAUAAAUAAAGAUAUGAAUAGAUUAAACCAACACGUGCAAUUGGAGUUUUAUAGGUCUGUUUGAUUUUAUUUUAUAGAUUAAAAAUAGAUGUUUCUCAUUGUUUUUAACCGUAUAAGAAUGAUUUUAUGUGCAUCGAACUAGUGAUCAAAUGAUUUACUAAGUUUCACUUUCAUUGUUGACGUUCUUUUUUUUUAUAUAACCAGUACACGUACAAUGCAUGCGUUGUCAAGCUCUAGCUAGGGAUUAAAUUGAAGUUCUCGACUUGCAAGUGAAUUACUAAUUAUCAGUGUUUCUUAGCGUAAUUUGACAAAAUUGAACCUUUUUGGUUGCAAAAAGCGAAUUGUUAUUUCACUAUUUCACUUUUAUUAUUGAUUGAACAGAAGAAAAAUCAAACUUUCGAUUUUUUAUAUAUCUUUUAGCUAGUGCUCCUUUAAUGACAUGUCAGGGGACAAAAUCAAAAUUCAUUUUAUAAACUUUGAUUCACAAACUACCAACAAGGUAGAUUACAAACAUUGUCAUAUAAGUGGCUAUAUAAAGAUAUAAAUAAUUCAAUAUAUUACUUGUAUUCUUCUCUUAGUAAAUAUCACGAUAAGUAAGCGUACAUGCCCAUGCAAGCGACAUGUAUCCAUAAUAAUCAUGAUAGGAGAUACAAUAUACCUUUAUAAGAUACGAUUUGAGUCACUGUUAUAAAUAACGCUGUACAUUCGAUGAACAACUGUACUGCAAGUUUAAAAAAAAAAAUAAUUGAACUUUAUCAUUAUCAAGAUCAUAUUAUGAUAGAAAAAAAAGAAAUAUUAUACAAAUGAUUUAGAUUUUUGAAAAACACUACAUGAAGUGAUGGACCUAGAAAAUGAUUGUAUUAGUCUUGAUUAAAUGUGUUUUAUAAUCCACCUGGCUCAAAGUACAACUAUAACCUUAUUUUAUCAACUGUUGUCCAUCGACCGUUAAAAUUGUCAACACGUUCAUUCGAAACUGAAAAUGCUCUGAAUAACUAUCUUUUUAAUCAACACGACCGCUGCGAUUAAACUAAGAAAACUAUAAAGGUUCAAUACAUGUACGUGUAUUAUAUAUAUAUAUAUAUAUUUACUUUAUAUAUAUUUAUUUACUUUAUUUCAUUCUUAUCGAAGAUUUUGCAACAUUGGGAUUGUAUGAUAAAAAUGUCAAAUAUUAAUUAGAGUAAUUGAAUCAGUUGAAUGUCACUUGAUAAUAUUUCUGAAGCAAAGUCAUCUAUUAAAAAUCACGCUGCACAUUCGAUGAAACUGUGGAAUAUAAGUUUUUGAGAAAUAAAUACUGUUAUCAGUAUCCACAGCAUAUUCCGUAUCACAAGACAAGUGUUUGUGUGAAAGUGGUUGGCUGUAGAUCGUCUUGAUAAACACUGAACACAAUCCGAUUUAUAUAAGUAAUAUAUUAAGUCCUACCAAAGCUUCUACUCUUAAGACUGAUAAACGAUCGCACAUACACAUCGGUGUAGUGACUAUAGGUAUUAUACCAGAGCUUAUUCCUUGGAUAUUGGAAGAUGCACCGUUCCUUAGAUAUUUAUUCUGAACUUGUUAUUUUGGCCUAUGUAACCUAGUAGCAAUGUGUGAGACGUGUUAUUGUCUUUGCAAAUUCGUUAGAUGUCCAGCAGCAACGAGUGCAUAUAUGUGCACUACCAAAUCCUGUGGUGUAUUCUACCUAUGUACUGCUUUUCCAGUGCACUAUCUUGCCUGUUCUACCUUUGCACCGUUUAACAAGUGUAUUGUCUGGUUUAUGCUUCACUUGUGCACUAUUAACCAUAACAAUACCGAUAAAUAGAUGGAAGACAAAACACUAAAAAGUAUAUAUAUUUAUAUAUAUAUAAGUCUAUGAAAAGGACCAACCAGCAAAUUUACUACGUACCGGAUCGUCUAGAAUAUAUAUAUAAACGCCCAAAAAAGUGUACACAACAACUCCAAAUACAAAAAAAAACGGUAACUAUAAAUAUAAUUAUUUAUAAAUAUUUCGGAUAACAGAUAUCCUUCAUCGGUAUAUAUGAUUGUGAUGUUGAAUGAAUCAAUUAUCAGUCUACUUAGAUUAAGUUGUUACAAUUUUGAACCGAACAUCAGUUAAGACGCUUGCACCAUUCUAAAAAUUUAUUAAACAUGACAUAGGUUAUAUGGCUUAUUACAACAGAGAGUUCAAAUAUAUGUUUCAAUACAAAUAAUAAUGUAUGAUAUGAACUAGCACAAUUCUAAAACUUUAACGGGAACGACAAUUAUGAUGGUACAAGAAUGAUUACGUCAAUAAAAUUGCCAAAUAGACAGCACUGAACGAUCUAAAUUUAUAAAUAUUUUAAAUUGACAGAUUAAAGUAGCUGCAACAGACUCUGAGUAUUUAAGCAUCGCGAACAAACAACCGUUAAAAUGUAAUCAUUAGUUUUGAAUAGGUAUAACUGGAAGAACGUGGCUUGGUACUUAUACAUCACUCAAAAAAUUAAGCAAUUUAAAUGGGUAUCUUCAACAAGUUUAUUUAAUGGAUGAAAAAGGUUAAGAAAUAGAAACAGAAGCUGUAAUAAUAAGUAAUAUAACCUAAAUGUGAAGCACUACAUCAAGUCGAACUACAUCUUUUCAUUUAUCCCAUUUGGUGCCAAAGUUGUUAAUUUCCUUAUCCAAAACCUUUCCCGAGCGAGUCUUUCCUCCUUAGACCAAGCAGAGUUGUGGUCAAUGAUUUUAAUGGUCAGUCGAUUGAGAUCUGCCUUAGUGUGACCAGGGGACCUCAAAUGUCAAAUCACAACGGUACUGAUAUAAGAUGGUAUAAUACUUAUAUCAGUACCGUUGUACAAAUUUUUAGACUGAUAUUACAAAAGAGUAAAAUCACAAAAAACACUCCGAGGAAAAUUCAAAACGCAAAGUCCCUAAUCAAAUGGCAAAAUCAAAAGAUAAAACACAUCAAACAAAUGACAACAAUUGUCAUAUUCAUGACUUGGUACCGAAGCUGUCUUAUGUAGAAAAUGGUGGACUGACCCUUGUUUUAUAGCGCCAAACCUCUCACUUGUAUUAGAGUCGCAUCAAAUUCCAUGAUAUUGACAACAAUGCUUGAACAAAACAGCCUCAGUUUUAUUGUUUAUAUUCACCCCACAUAUAUCAAGUUUUAGAUUAUUUUAUUUACACACAAGACAUUUCUUGGUAUUUUUAAACGGAAGAUUAAAUAGACAGAAGAAGAAGUAUACUUAACAACAAAAUUGUUUUAUUAACCUGUGUAUUAUAUGACGUAUUUUUUUUUCAAAUUUGAUGUUUUUAUAAAAUUGUUACUCUUCACAGCAGUUUUAUACUUUUACUUUAAUAAUCCAUCCCUUAUUUUUAUUAACUCUGUACUAACAUUGCAUCACAGAUCAAAUGUAAUUGUUCAUUGUGUGUUUAUUUAUGUCACUUCGUUUUUUGAUUGAGUUAAGUCACUCCAAUUGAUAAAGUGUGUCUAUCUAUGUUUUGAUGUUAUACUACUGUUUGAAAAAAAGGGAGGUUUGGUACCAUUAAAACGUUUAAUCCCGCUGCAGUUGUUUGCACCUGGUCUAAGUCAGGAAUCUGAUUAUCAGUGGUUGUCGUUUGUUUUUGUGGUUCAUUAGUAUUUCUCGUUUCUCGUUUUUCAUAUAGAUUAGACCGUUGAUUUCUCGCUUGAAUGGUACUACACUAGUAAUUUGUGGGGCCCUUUAAAGCUUGCUGUUCGGUGUGAGCCUUGGCUCCGUGUUGAAGACCGUACCUUGACCUAUAAUGGUUUACUUUUAUAAAUUGUGACUGGAAAUAAGAGUUGUCUCAUUGGCACUAAUACCACAUCUUCCUAUAUCUAAUUAAUAUGUAACAUUGUCAAAAUAGGGGUACAGCAUUCAUAGCCAUGUUACAAUCUCAAUCAGAACAAAAACAAACAAAUAUUUAACAAAGAUGCACAAAAAACAUACAUAAAAUUUUACAACCAGGUUCAUUGCUUACUUAUUUUUGUAUUUUAUUUGAGUAUAUUAAAAUCAACCCAUAAAGGAUUGAAAUAUUUUAAAUUCUGUUACUGAAUGGCUAGAUAAACAUCAACUCUGGUGUAGAAUCACGCGUUUAACGUCAGAAUGUAAACGUCACACAGGUAGAGAUAUAAACUAAUUCAAAUUAUGCAAAAAUUAUAAUCAAAACAUUAAUAUAAUAACGUCAUAUGUAUCAAAGAAACACAAAAAGUCACACGGACAAAGCACAACACCAAAAAUGAAAGAUAAUACAACCAACACAUUGACGGGAUGCAUAAGUACCGAGCCACGUCAAAUCACCAAAAACAAACCAAACAGUAAAAGUUAAAAUAUUAAUAAAGACAAAAAAAAGAGUUAACGUUAUUAAGAUUAUAUACAACAUAAGUACGCAGAAUCUAUACACAAGAACCAUCAUGUUUCAUUUUUGAAGUUGAUACGGAAUAUUUAUUAACAAGGUCUUGGUACCUUCCAAUAUACAUUUCUUUGAAAACAGACGAGACGUUCUUCGACAUACCCCUGGUUUAUCAACUUUUUUUGUUCUUUUAUACGUCUUGACUUCCUUGAAAUACAGCUUUUUUGACAGCGCAUCAGGUUAAAUACUAGGUAACUGACCAUACCGUUAACUCUGGACGAUACCAAAUAUCGUAUGCCUGUGAGUGUUUGCAGAAUAUCUAAACCCCUUAUUGCUAAACGUUUGAAUGACGGCCCUUAUUUGCACAAUUUAUUCAUUUUUUUCAAUAUUAGCCGUAAUAGCGAAGGUGUUUUGAUGUACCAUAAAAAUUGUGAAAUUGCAAAGAAAUAGUACUAUAGUACCUUUAUGUACAUCUUUAGUCCAUGAUAUCCGCAUUUGAUCAGUAAGAUUGUACGUUAUAUAAUACUGUCCGAUAAGGCAAACGAAUAUCUACUGUCCUUAUGGAUUAAAACGUUAAGAGUUUCUUGGAUGUUUAGAAAAUUGUUGAUAUUUCAAAUGUUAACAAUUAUACGAUCAAAUGCGGAUUUGUGUCUUCCUUGGUAAGACUGAAAUUUACAAAUAAAGGCAACAGUGGUAUACCGCUGUUCGAAAUUCAUAAAUCGAUUGAGAGAAAAAAACAAAUCCGGGAUCCAAACUAAAACUGAGGGAAACGCAUUAAAUAUAGGAGGAGAACUAUGACACAACAGAAACACAUUAAAAUGCAACACACACAGAAAAGAACUAUAAUAUAACAAACAUUUACAUUUGGUUCCAGGUGUAAAGAACGUGUGCAUAUAAAAAUCCUGCAUUAAUAAACGAUAACUGUCAACUUCGUUUAUCAUAAUCAAACGUGUAUCUCGGAUCAUUAAUUUUACAAUUGAAACCUUCAAAAAGGACAACAGUUUCCAUGGUUAAAUAAAUGUAAUACUUGUAGACAUCUCUAUCAGAGUUUAUCAGAGUUUCAACUUCUUUCGAGAAUAGCUCAUAACUGUGGUUUGUUUUUGGUAAGUGAACACAUAUCAGAUAAAUGUUUGAUGUGUCUGGUAUAUUUAAUUCAAUUCCCAUUAUUCUACUGAUCGGAAUAUCCAGUAUUUCAACAAGAGACCAGUUUUGCCCGAUACCAGAAAGGUGACGACGCCUCUUUAUAUUAAACUUGAAUAAUUGAUGACAAUUGUCAUAAACGCCUUUCCCGUCACCAAUAUAAUUCGUCGUAUGUAAACGCAUCAACUUACAAGACCGAAACCAGAGGUCUGCAAUGAUAACAAUUAUGUCAAUUCUAUUUAUAUUAAGGAAAUCAAUAAGAUAUGGAACACUAUAAUCAUGACUCCACGAGAGAGUUCAAACAUGCAAAGUAAAGUUCCAUGAUUAAGCACAUACGAUACAGUUUUGAUCCCAUAAUGAUUUGAAAAUUUGAAUCUCGGCUAUUUUUGUACCUGAUUAAAUCAAAUAUGUAAUAAAAAAUAUAUCAUCAUGUGCUUUUUUUUGAGUAAAUCGAGGUUGAAAUGUCAAAUAGUUCCUCAAAAUUCGGAUUUGUGGACGCAUUUUUUUCCUUUCGACAGAAAUGUAUAACUUUUUUGUUUAAAGAAAUAAACAUAUUAAAGCUGUUUUUUUUUGUUAAGUAAUUUGUUAUUUCUGUUUUAUAUUAAUGUUCUUCAAAUUUGUACAUUUUAUUUUUACAAAUAAUCAUAAAUAUCAAAUUUUUAUGAAUGUAGAAAAAAACGCCCUUUUUUGCUGUAUAUUUAUCAAAUUAAAAAAAAAUGCACUAUUGACUUUUUCAUGAAAAUUGGUACACAUAAUCUUCAUGCGAAUUCAAACCAGAUGUCAUUUUAUAAAAGAGGGGUGCACGAACUCGUUUUCAAGUUAUAUCAGUUUGAAUGAUAAAAAUCGAUCAUUCAUAGUUUGACAUCGCGAAAAUAACAAUUUACGUUAGCAACUGUAACUUAUCGUAUGCCCUUAACUUAAGUGUCUACUUUGUCGUGAAUAAAUAAAUCACAAGCUAGGUUUCAAAUCUCUAGUAGAUUCCUUUCGGCCAUAAACUAGAGUUGUACACAAUAUGUCAAUCUCGUGCAUAAAGAAUCCGUUUGCUUAUUGUAAUGUGACUAUUUUACAGCUUCAAAAGAUGUAUAUGUAAGGAUGUUGAUAAUGGUGAGAAACUGCGGUUUGUUGUUUUUGCCUGCAUCCUGGAUUAUGAUAAUGUUAUCUUACUGUAAACUGUACAAUGAUUCGACAAUGCACACCCUUCCAUAUUGGUUAAAGAGGUUCGCUAUUGUGAUAUUCAGCAUAUAUGGUAAGUUCUCAAUGUUUCAAUAUAAUAAUACUUAUGAUUUUUGAAAAUUUGAAAAAAAAUUAACGGGGAGGACGCCAAUGACAUUGUUUCGUUUACGAAUCGAUCAAAGAUAAGCCUACGUAAUUUCAAACACGCGCCCACGUUAUCAGCUCGGUAGUUAGUACUUUCAAAUUGGUACUGACACGAUUUAUAACAAAUUAACUAAAAUUGCCCGUUUAUAAAUUGUGGCAUUAUAAAGAAAGUUAGAAACUAAUGUUUCAACUGCCUCGCGCAAAGUUGGCCUUAGAUGGAUUUGGCUAUUUUUAGAUCAUUUUUGGUUUAUUAUUAUCGGUCCUUAUACAUCACUGGCUUUCAAAUAUUCGGGUUUGGGUGUAACUUACCAGGGUAAAUCCAGAAAAGCGCUCCGGACGGAAAUGAAUAUCGUGUAUAUUUUUUUAUAAGCGCCGUUCCAGAUUUGGGCUGAUCUGCAGUUCACUUAAAUAACGACUAUUGUGUCUUUCAUUUGCGCAGAUUAUGAACAGGUAAAUGAAAGAUGAAUUUAUUUUCUAUUCAUCAGUAUAAACCUCUUCUGGUAGCCAGUUGUACAUUAGUCCGAGAUUACUCUGACGUCGAACGGCUAUUUUGUCAGACAAGCUGGGAGUAGGUUUUGCUGACAGUGCAGCCGUUUGACGUCAAAGUAAUCUCUGACUAAUUGUAAAUGUUAUGAAUGGUCAAUUUAAACGUAUAUACCAAACAUUGUCUCCAGCACACCGCGGAUUGGUGAAAUAACGAUAUGAACAGGCCGUAUGUGUCAUUAUAGCUUCAAUUAACGCGAUUUUUACAUAUUUUGAGCACUAUUAAAAACUAUGGUAUCACUAAUUAGCAACAAAAAUCGACAAGAAACUAUUUAGCGACAAGAAAAAUUUUUUUUAAUUAAAAUUACUUAUUUCAAAUAAAUAUUAAAAGAAUAUGCAAAAGAAAACAAUUUUAGCGACAAAAAAGUUAAUAUUGAUAGAAAGAAAAAAAUAAAACAUCAAAUUGCUACAUUUAUUUACAUGAUAUUUUAUUAUUUAUUAUGUAUUACAGCAAGUAUUACGUUUACCCUGUCGUAUUAUAUUACUUUAACUUGAGUUUUAGAACAAUAUAUUUAUCUUAUAAUUUGUUUUUUACUCUUUGAACAAUAAUGCUACGGUACCCAAAUUGCGCUGAGUACCCAAAUUGCACCUAUUAAUCAAAAAUAGCAGUAGAAAUCUUACAAGAUUUCAUAUAGACUAAACAAUUUGUAUUUUUAUGAUUUCAUACUAUGCAGGUCUUCCAAAUAGGUUAAAAUAUUUAGAUAUAAACAAAACGUUAACAGUUUUUAUCAACAGAUGAAGUGUUUACUGAAAAAGCAAAAUGUACGGAAAACCUCAUCAUGCGACGUCAUCAAAACGUCAUCUUUGUUAAAAUUAGCAAAUGCAAUAUGUUACAAGUAUCUAUUUCUUAAAAAAUGAAGAGUAAGCAUGGAAUAAUAUCCAAUUUUUCAAAAUACUUGAAGAAAUUAAACAAAAGCUCUAUUACUCGACUUUUGAUGAUGCAAAUUUAAGCAUGGAUGAUCAUGGAUGCAACUUGGGUACUGCUCAUUACUGGUAUAGAAUCAUUGAAGGUUUGGAGGUCAAUUUUAGGCCAUUUUUUAUGAUUCCAUGAUCAAUAUUAAAUUGGUAAAACCAUAUAGUAAAUUAUAAUAAAUUCAAAAUAAACACAUGAUGAAAAAAAAUUUCCGAAGAAUAAAUAAACGUAGGUUAAAAAACUGUCAAAAUAGGUGCAAUUUGGGUACCCUCACGUUAUAUAAUAAACUUGCAAAAUACAUUAUUUGUGCAUCAUUUUCAAGAAAAUACAGACACAAAUUGUGAAAUACAAAGAACUGUGAUCAACCAAGAGGAAAACAAUUAAAAUGUGAAUAUUUUCCAUCAUUUUAUUUUGUGUAUUUCCUCAGUUAACGAUAUUUAUCAUGUUUAUGCAUAUCAGAGACAUAUAAUACAAAUGUAUUAUAUGUCUCUGUGCAUAUUGAUUAAAGUUUAAAGGAAAUUAAUGGCAAUCUUGAGUUUUCAACAGAUGUUCACUAUUUGCAAUGAUUGUAUAUAUUCUGACGCGUGUAAUUGUAUAGACUGACUCGUGUACAAAGUUGAAGGUGUUAAUUGGAUGUUAUUGUAGCAAUAAAACAAGGGACACACGCCUUGAUUAUCUCACUUGACUGAUGUUCCACAUUGUGUGUACUGUUAUUACCUUAGAGUGAAGCCCCAUCUAAUGUUGUACUGUAUUGUUAGAAAGGAAAUAAUAUUUCAUGUUUUUGUUUUAAUAAAUCUUUCUAGGAAAGUUGAAAUAUCUGUGUUUUUAUUUCCAUUUCAUUGCCCGUAAAUUAAACAAAAAUGCAUAUUUCUUUAUAUUUGAUAAAAAAAAAAAUGUUUUCUUGUCGCUAAAUAGUCUUCUUGUCACUAAACUGAUUCUUCUUGUCUCUUUUUGACGCUUCUUGUCGCUAAUUAGUGAGACCCAAUCAAAGAGCAGAUUGCUCUGAGGGAUACGAUUGCAAUUGUUUUCAUUGACACAUGUAUACAUGUAGCUGGAUAAUAUUAUUUUCAAAACUAAUUCAACUGCACAUGUAAAAUGUAUUUUACGUAAUCUGAAUAGUAACAAAAUAGCCAAUCCCGGAUAAAAGUGUAUGAACAAUGUACUUAGGCUUAUUGUGUUUUAUUUUUGUACUAUUUUCUAUCAAUUCCAAGUUUACUUUUCACAGCAGUCACUGAGACUCAGAGUGAGAGAAGUAUUUCAUUUCGUAUAUUAUCACCUAUUUUCCUACGUUAAUUCUAGGAGGAACCCCAUUCCUAACUCUUCAAAUGUUUAAUUUCCUUUGGGUCAGUGAUCAUGACUCCUUCCCGUACACAUUCAUCGGUUUAAAUUGCGAUCGUUUUUAAUAGGCAUUUUUAAUACAAUACGACGUUUAUCGACAGAACGAGUUAAUUUUUCUCAGCGUAAUGUUUUGGUUGAGAAUUCACGGAAGUGUCUUCCGGAAGGGAAACAACUCGAAACGAUAAUAUGGAAGACUCCAUUUCGCCUGAAGGGGUGUUGAAAAAAAAUCUUAACGAUGUUGACUAAUUUAUUUUAAUUUAAAUGAUGCAUAUGAUUUAAAAUUAUGCAACUACAAUAACCUCAAUGGCAGACAUACAUAGAAAGGAUCCUAUGAGUUAUAAAUUAAUCAAUCGAGUGGGGAAUCCAGAGCAACCAUUACUGUUACUGUUAUUGGUAUGUUCCUCCUAUCUAAGGAGCACUCCCGAAGAAUGAGGAUAAGAAUAUGAAUAUUUACAUGUAUAUGAAUAUUUACAGGGACCUGUUAGUAGCACCAUUACCCAUAUAAAAGUCAUCACUCUAUACACAAGUUCUGAUGUCCUGAUUACUAUAUUACGACACUUUCUCGAUAUAUACAAUGUCUUUUGAUACUUGAUACUCUUUCAAAAUAUCCUUCACUUUGAAUUGUCAGUCUGAUAUUAAGUAUACUGCUCUUAUAUAUGUGAUAAAUUUAUCAAGCCUUGGUCUGAUUUAAUAAAAUACGUUUUAUAUGAAGGCGGUAACAUAAUGUUCUUGUAAUAGCUUCAAUAUCUUUACAGUUUGAUUUCUUCAGUUUGAAUAGUUCUUUAAACUUUGUUGCUGAUGGGUUAAGAAUGAAUUGUACAAGCAAUCCUUGUUCCUCUACUCUGUCAAAUGUUCCAACUGGUGUGUUGUUCUUCAAGUAGGAUUUAAGAACUGACAAAUGUCUAUCUCGCUCCGUCUUUCAUGCAGUACACGUUAUUAGAAAGUGAUGUGUAUAUUCACGGCUUAUUUCACAUAGCAGGCACUUGUCACUUUCUCGACCUCUUGUGAAUUUUUCUCUGUCUGAUUGUAAUGUGUAAGUUCUUGUGAUUAACCUUGCUUUAAUUUCGGCCUUUUUCACUUCGAUAGUUGUAUUUGGUACUAGCUGCCAGAUUUGAGGAGGCUUUUCAAUAGUCUGUUGAUUUAUAUCAAUAUAUUGCAUAGUGGUUUUAUUUUCUUUCUCUGAUAACCACUGUUUUUCCCAAUGCAUGUUUAAUGCCUAAUUUACAGUCCUUUUCCAGAUCUCUUUUGUUGGUUUACUGUUCAUUAUUUCUUGUGCCUUUGGUAGACAAUAUUUAUUCAAAAUUUCUUUUAAUCUAUUGAUAAAGUUGUUACUAUUUGGUGGUGACAUGCAUAAUUGCCUUUCUAUGAUCAUAAAUUCGAUGCUAGCACGAUCCUGAAUAAUGCCUCCGAAAAAAGUAAGGACAAGACGAUCGACAGUUGCCUGUACUGGCUCCACACCAAGCAUAACAUAUAUGGCGGCGUUUGCUGUUCUGUUUGGCAAUCCCUGAAUUUGUCUACAGACCUGUUGUUGAAGUCUUUCAAGCUUUAGAAUGUCAGUUUUUGUAUAAUUCAUGAUCUCUAUACCAUACAAGCAUCUUGGAAUUGCAUAUGUUUGCCAUACUUUAAGUGCUACUAUAGGUGACAUUUCUUUUCGUGCGUGAAGGCCUGGACCUAACAUUGCGUAUACAGCUUUCCUAGCGACUUUCAAUCUAUCCUCGAUAUUCAGCUUAUUUUUAGAGUCUCUGACUAGUCCUAGAUGUUUUGUUUGUGACUUUUGAUCUAGAAUAUCAUUACCAAGUUGAACAGAGAAUUUUUCACGAGUAUCGUGGAAAAUUUUGCUUCUUGUCUUACCCCUUGUCUCUGAAUAAAUUGAUCUGACAGAGUAUUAUCCCAUUUCACUUUAACUGCAACAUUUUUGUACAUAUUUCUAAGCAAAAUCCAAAUGUUGCCAGUUAUGCCGUCAUGGUACAGUUUAUUGAAGAGUAUCUCAUGGUCUAAUUUGUCAAAUGCUUUUUGAGCAUCUAAUGUCAGGAGAACAAGCUGUGCAAGUACUUCUUUGUAGAAAUCUGCCCCCCUGGGUUACAAUGAAGGCUGCAUUGAGCGAGGAUGAUUUUUCAGUAAAUCCACGCUGAAGUUUACUUUGUUGUGGUAGAAGCUUGGGUUCUUUUCUGUCCUUAAGUAUACUUUCGAUCAAUGUGGAGAAGCAGUUAGUCACUGUUAUGCCUCUGUAGUUUUCAGGAUAUAUCUUAUCUUUUCCACUCUUCAGUACAGGCGUAACCACCCCUUCUUUCACUUUUGAAGGUAUAUUCUUUUCUUUGAAUAUAAGGUUAAUAAUGUAAAUGAUAUAUUGUUCAGUUGGCAUAUUCUUAAGGUGUUCAGCUGAGAUUCCAUCUGCACCUGGACUCUUUCCAGUUUUAAGCUUUUGAAUGGAUAAUGUAACUUCCUCUUCGUUUGCUUGUUUUAUCUCUUCGUUCCUAUUGGUUUCUAUUUGUUCAAUUAUCUCAUUUUGCAUAGUGGCGAGAAUAAGCCUCUCGGUGUUAUAUUUUGAUUUUUUUCAGUUUUGUGGCUUCUAUACAGAUCUUCAAAGUAAUUUUUCCAACCUUCAAGUAUAUCUUCAGGUUCUGCCUGUUCUUUUGCAUUAAAAAUCAUAACGUCUGUAUUCACUUUUUUGACACCUCUUUGAUUUUGUAUAAGCUGAUGGAAUAGCUUGUUGUCGUUUUGGGAAGCCAUCAUAAUUGUUACAAAAUGAUAGAAAUAAUUAUAAAUUAAGGAAUGUAUCUCCCUCAUGCAAAGCUCUGAUUCCUUCCUCGGAUUUGGCUAUACUUUUUGGACCUUUUGGAUUAUAGCUCUUCAUCUUUUAUGUAAGCUUUGGAUUUCAAAUAUUUUGGCCACGAGCAUCACUGAAGAGACAUGUAUUGUCGAAAUGCGCAUCUGGUGCAAGAAAAUUGGUACCGUUAAUUUUAUUGCUCUAUGAAGGUGUUUUUUUCUAGAUGCAUUAGCCCUUCGUUGCGCACUUCUUAAUAGUCGUUUGGCUUUUAUCAUUUCCUGCUUUUUCCCAGUGUUUUGUCCAUCCAAUUUCCAUUCAUAAAAUACUAUUUUGGAGUGUUUUGAAGCCUGACUAAUUUCUUCAUUCCAAAUGCCAUUUCCGAUCGCUUUUGAAGUUACUUGUUUCCUGUAAUUUGGUAUGGAAUCUUUUCCUGCCAUAUGCAAUAUGUUUGUUAAUUUUUCUAUUUCUUCAGCUGAUGAACUAAGAUUGUGAAUGUUAAUUUCAUCGAGGUUUUUUAGAAUAGAGGCCUGAUAACUGUUCUUGUCACACAUUUAACCUAGUAUCCCUUGAAGUCAAGAAAACUAUACGCAUGUGCAUAAUAACCUAAACAAACCCUGUAGUAAGAACGUAUAUUAAACCUAAAUGGUUCUCUAUUUUUUAUCGAUGUACAAUAUCAAAUAUCAGUUUAAUAACGGUGACAUAUAAGUAAAACUCCACUUCAGUUCUUAUAUGACAGAAAUAGAUUCAUCGGAAUUCAGAGAACUCUAGCAUUUUUAUCACAACUGGGGAAUUUCCUCUGACGUGUUUCUGAAUUUACAAAAACACUAAAUACAAAUACUGCUUGAUUCUGAUUUUCCGUGUUGUUAAAAACACGCAUAUAAGUCAAGGGAAAUAUCAAACAUGAAGAUUAUGAAAAGAACAUUAUAGGAAAGUUGUUUAAGUUCAACCCCUUUGUUUGUUUUUACCUUUUAAACCAAGACAAUCAUAAGAAUCUGAGACGGUCAUUAAUGUUUAGAAUAAAACGGUUGACGUGAGGGCACUGUCCUGAGCCACUGGUAUAAGUCUACAGAUUGCUUGAAAGCAAUCGUAUCCCAAAAACUAUAGUCAUUAAUCACCUAGUGCGUUAAAAAUCCAUUCAAGUCCAUUGCUGCUUCUGGAUUGUAAUAACGGUCCUGCAUUCUGUGAUGUUCAACGCAUGCGAGACAACUAUAUCUAGGCUAAUCAACUUACCAGAAAAAGGAGUUGGACUCAAGUAAUUCUGAAGUCACAACUUUAUGUUCCACUAGUGAUGCAAUGUUUAUGUAUCUUUGGGUUUCAUACUUUGUUCAAGCAUACUAUAUAGAAACACGUGUAAACUAAAACAGUAAUUUACACCUUUAAAUGUGAACAGAUAAAUAUGAUAAAUCAUGCAUACUACAGCAAUCUGAUAAUACACUUAACAUAGAACUCUAUACCGGGGAAACAAUUUUAAAAUAUAUUUCUAACCUACCUUUACAUUUCUUUAACCAGUUCAUUGAAUAUUAGAUAAUGGUGAUUUAUUUUUCUUUUCAGCUGUAUUUGGCCUAUUGGAAACGUAUAGGUUUCGUGAAAAUAUUGGGCUAUCUUGGUUGUGUAUUUCUGAUAUGUGCAUGAUGUUUACAAUCUCCAUGCUGUACUGGCAUAUUCAUCAUGAUCAAAUCACAGAUAUGAAGAAAAAUGAAUAAUAGACCAUAUGAAAGAUCAAUCACACAACAUGGCCAUUUUGUGAAAAUGUUAGAAUAGCCUUAAUUUUCUGUAUAUAAUAUUAACAUAAGUAAUGAUUAUGUCUGAACUUCCACUUUGUUAAUAUCUUAGCAAUACAAAAUAUUUUUGUGUAUAAAACAUGUAUUUAUCUUCAUUUUAAGCUGGAUAUUCCUUAUUGUUCUAUAAAGAAAUGACCAGUUGUAUACUGCAUACAAUAUUCUUGCAUUCUAAAGCUACAAUUGUUUGUAAG